rnacentral:misc_RNA from 1 species
AACUGAUACUACCUGCGGGAACCUGCGGAAGGAUCAUUACUGAAGUGAUUUGGGGAUGUUGCUGGCCCUCUCUCAAGGGGGGGCACUGUGCACUCCUCGAAACAAUUCACAAUUUCCAUCACACCCCUUGUGCACACCUUGUAGGCACCCAAACCCACCUCCGGGUGGUGGGGUCCUAUGUAUUCCUUCAUCUCACACUCUGUUGAAUGGUGCCAUGGGACGCAUCUAAAGGAUUAUUUG